rnacentral:lncRNA from 1 species
UUGACCACAAUUCAAAAAUUUAAUAUUUUAUAAAUCACAAAUUAUUUCUUAAUCACAAUAAAAAAUUUUACAAGUCACAAUUUCUUUCUCAGUCACAAAUUAAAUUUUUUUUAUAGGUAAUAAUUUAUUCAUCAAUCAAAAAAUCAAAAUAUUUAUCGAUUACAAUUCAUUUAUCAAUAAUAAAUUAUUAAAUUAAUUGUUCCCAAGUUAUUUGUCGGUAACAAUUUAAUAAAUUGUGAGUCAAAAAUCAUAUUUUUUAGGUGACAUUAUAUACUGAUGACAAAUUAAAUUAUCCAAUUUAUUGGUCAAAAACUGGUCACUGUCGCCAUCACCAUUGCCAUCGCAUGCACCACAGCCGUUUGUGACCACCUACUCACCAUCGCCAACAAGGCCAGAUCCACCAGCACACCACCUUACCAGUGCCAUUGCCAACAAAAAACACACUCAUAACUAACAAAAUCCGACCACCUCUGCCAACACCAACACCAUCGACGCCGUCGCCACCACCCCCACCUGCUGAACCACCGUCUCUAAUGACACGAUCACCUUCAAUACCUCAACACAACUAUUUGCAGUACCACGUUCACCACCACAAAAUCAUCAAAA